rnacentral:rRNA from 1 species
CGUUUUUUGUGUUUAUAUAAAAAAUAUAGCCUGCCCAAUGAAUUAUUUAAUGGCCGCGGUAUCUUGACCGUGCGAAGGUAGCAUAAUCAUUAGUCUAUUAAUUGUGGACUGGUAUGAAUGGUAUGAUGGGGAAAUACUGUUUCUAUUAUAGAAUUGAAUUUUAGGUCUUUGUGAAGACGCUAAGAUAAAAUUAAAAGACGAGAAGACCCUAUUAAGCUUUACAUUUCUAGGUUAGGUAGGAGAAUUAACUUAUGUAGUGUUUUAUUGGGGCGAUAGUAAAAUUAUAAACUUUUAUUUAAUAUGUAUACUCAUAAGUAUACAAAAGUUUUUGAUCCAUAAUUUGUGAUUAUAAGAAUAAGUUACUAUAGGGAUAACAGCGUAAUUUCAUUGGAGAGUUCUUAUUGAUAGUGAAGAUUGCGACCUCGAUGUUGAAUUAGGAUACCUAUAAGGUGCAGCAGUUUUAUAAAGGUAGUCUGUUCGACUAUUAAAUUCCUACA